rnacentral:rRNA from 1 species
GACGAACGCUGGCGGCGUGCUUAACACAUGCAAGUCGAACGGAGUGGCGAACGGGUGAGUAACACGUGGGUGACCUGCCCUGCACUUCGGGAUAAGCCUGGGAAACUGGGUCUAAUACCGGCUAGUGGUGGAUGGGGCCGCGGCCUAUCAGCUUGUUGGUGGGGUAAUGGCCUACCAAGGGGGCGACGGGUAGCCGGCCGGGUGGGGUGGACGGCCACAUUGGUACUGAGACACGGCACAGACGCCUACGGGAGGCAGCAGUGGGGAAUAGUGCACAAUGGGCGGAAGCCUGAUGCAGCGACGCCGCGUGGGGGAUGACGGCCUUCGGGUUGUAAACUCCUUUCACCAUCGACGCGGUAGAUGGAGAAGAAGCACCGGCUAACUACGUGCCAGCAGCCGCGGUAAUAC